rnacentral:rRNA from 1 species
AUGACUACGGUGAAGAUCAUUCUCCUCCUCGUUGUCCUUGCGCCCUUUUGCAUGGCUGCCGCAAGCACGGACUGCCGUGGUGUGCCGGCGCUGGACGGGUCUUCUGCCUGCGGCGAGUCAUGCAGCACGAAGCUGUUGCAAGAUCUAUGCAUCGACGUGAUGAUCUGGGGCGGCGUCGAAAUAUCCGGGUCGCGCAAGGAGGGCGCCACCGGAUACGUGAUCCUCGCCGCGCGGUUCGCCGUUGAAUCAUUGGACGCCACACAACUCGCCGCGAGGAACCAGCUCAGCCAGAACACCUCGUUCUCUGGCCAGGAGAGGAACGCCUACGAGGGGUGCCUGAACGACUAUGCCACGGCGAGAAGCUCCAUAAACCGCUUCGCCAACGAGAUGCUGCCCAAAUGCCAAUUUGCGGGGGUCGCCGACGAGUUCGCCCGUGGGGUGAAGAGCUGCUGGAUCCGGCUGAUGCGACCGCCUGUGAAGUCGACACCGUUGUACAACUUGGUCUGGGCCGACUGGUACAAACUACUGCUAAUUCACUUGCUUGAUGGUAAACUACUAGGCAUAUGA